UACGUAGGGUCCGAGCGUUGUCCGGAUUUAUUGGGCGUAAAGAGCUCGCAGGCGGUUCCGUAAGUCAGAUGUGAAAACUCAGGGCUCAACCCGGAGACGCCAUCUGAUACUGCGGUGACUGGAGUCUGGUAGGGGAACACGGAAUUCCUGGUGUAGCGGUGAAAUGCGCAGAUAUCAGGAGGAACACCGAUGGCGAAGGCAGUGUUCUGGGCCAGUACUGACGCUGAGGAGCGAAAGCGUGGGGAGCAAACAGG
rnacentral:rRNA from 1 species